CAGCAAAAACAGAUGCUUUUGGAGAAAUUGCAGUACCAUGAGUUAGUUCUAAAAAUGUAUAGUUGAUUUGGCUUUACCACGAAUUAGCAUUGGAGUUUUUUGCAGUGCUGCCAUUUACUUUCCACUCAAGGAUUACUCCAGCAGAGGCAACCAUGGUACUGUUGGCGAGAGAAGGACCUGAGCCCUAGGACCAUGCCUCAGGACUACCUGGCAUGAUGACUCCUUGCUGUCCCCAGUCCACCUGGCCGUGCUGCUGCUCCAGUUUCAACUGUUCUGCCUAUGGAACCCUGACCUGUUCACCGGACGUGCUACCUGUCCCAGACCUGCUCUUUUCAACUCUUUAGAGACAGCAGGAGCGGUAGAGAUACUCUCAAAGAUUGGCUAUGAAAAAGCCAACUGACACUUACUCUUGAGUUGCUGACUUGUUGCACCCUUGACAACUACUAUGAUUAUUUGACCAUGCUGGUCAUUUAUGAACAUUUGAACAUCUUGGCCAUGUGCUCUUAUAAUCUCUACCCCGGCACAGCCAGAAGAGGACUGGCCACCCCUCAUAGCCUGGUUCCUCUCUAGGUUUCUUCCUAGGUUUUGGUCUUUCUAGGGAGUUUUUCCUAGCUACCGUGCUUCUACACCUGC
rnacentral:lncRNA from 1 species